AUCUGCUGAAAGAAAAAAAAACACUUUUUCACAUUUAUAAUGUUUUUAUUUACGUUAAAUUAAUAUAGUUACGGUUUUAUUGAGCAGUUAAUGACAUUUAUUUCAAUUGUAAAAUAUUUAUUGAGCAUAAUUUGCUUUCGGUUGUUGGUUCUGAUGUGGCCCUUUGUGAAAAUAAAAAUAUAUUUUCAUUUUAAAUUUCACCUCCAAAAAACAAAGUUGCAUUUUUUAGACGUGACUUUGAUCAACACGUACAUUUUAAAUACACAAACGUUUGGUUCAAACAUUUUUAAAAAUGAGAUAAGAAAUCUUUUUUCUUCAUUUGUUUAAAUAGAAACAUUAUUUCCUGUGUCUCACCGACUCGGUCCUCCUGUCUGGCCUGAAGCUCUGCUGCAGCUGAGGUCUGAAGGGAAACACUUCAACACGUCCAACAAUCAUCUGUCCCUCAACUCAUUUAGCUUUAUGCACCGUCACGACAUUUCUUGGCUACUUUUUACUGUUACUUGAGUAAAAACAUGUUGAAGUAGCACUACUCACCCACCUCAGGUAAAUCCUGAGUUUGUAUUUUMCUUCAGCAAAAGUCACAUUUUGUCACUUUUAUGUAAUUUUUUUUAUUUCUGCAGUCGAGCUAACGUGAGGUUUUCCUCUUUCAGUGAUGACGUUAAACGGAUGCAGGAAACCCUGUCUGCAGCUCGGAGCCUGAGUGAUUGACAGCCACAGGUUUGGCUGCAGGUCCACCUUCAGAAAAAAAAAACAACCUCCCAUCAGACUCAUCACAAACACCAGCACUUGGCAAUGUCUCCUUUUUCACUUUUAAACGUCUUCUCACUCACCUCUAAAUCCUCUGCACCUUUUUUUUUCUCUUCAAACUUAUUGCUUAAAGAAGUUUUGACAGAUUUGUGUUGGGAUAUUUUUAAACUCUGUAUUUACAAUAUCCUCUCAUGGGGCCGGUUUCUUUUUAAACAGCACUUUUUAAAAGCGUCUGGAAUUAAAUUUACAUCAUCAUGAGAUACUAAACCUCUCCCUGAAUGCAAACUAAUGACUGUAAUGUUGCUGUUAACAGCUCAUAAAAGCACAUUGUGAACUUAGAUUUAGAGAAAACUUCAACUAUCAACGGGCAACGUAAAAAAAAAACUAAAAAAAUGUGCGGAGGAUGUAAUGUCUGAUAGUGGAAGUGGACAGCAGAUUUGUAUUAUUUCACAGAAAAACACUCACAUGCUGGGAGAUUCUGACUCACGUUGUCCUCGAGGGGGUAGAGUGAGUGAAAACACCCCCGCCACAGGCCAUCAGUGCUUCAAGAGCAGCUCCACGAUUGAAACCAUGUGUGCAUUAAUACCUGCUCAGGGCCCACGAGCAAAUAUAUAGCCCGGACUAACCUGCUAAUAGCCUUAAUUUGUAAGGUAAACAGUAGAAGAGCUCGACACUCACUCACCUCAGCUGCACUGCCUCUGCUGCCUUCAGACGCUGUGGAGGGACGAAGGCUGGGGGGCUGGAGGUGGGGGGGCGGGCGCAGCAGCAAAGCUCCCGCCUGCCUCCACCAUGCUAUCUGUUAAAGUGAUUUUCUCCCAAAGAGAAAUUAAUUUCCUUUCUCAGGCGGCCCGCAGAGUCUGUGGCACGGUCUGCGUCGUCCAACUGGAUCUCCGGAGUGUAAAGUUUUUSUGACUGCUCCGCUGUAAAAUACAACUCUGAGAGAGAGAGCAAUAAAUUUUAUAUUUGUUUUAUUUAUUAUUUCUCUUUAAUUUGUAACUUUGGCUUCUUUGAUUUACUCUACACCCAGAUUAUAACUUWAACUUUUUUUCUGCUUUUAUUUUGAAAGAUUUAAAACAAGGUUAAAAUGGAUUUUACAUGAUUUUUACAUAAAUUCGAGUUAAAUAAACAAUGAGAAUUUCUA